rnacentral:lncRNA from 1 species
CUUAGUUUUGAGAACAACAUGCGUUAAUUGUGCAAGUAUAAUCAUUGAUAAAUCAUGCACAAGAUUGACUUUUUUUAAAAAGCCUAUAUAUUGAAAUUUUCUGAAAAUAUUGCAUGCAUUUAUUAAUAUGACCAAUUUCAAGAAAUGCGCAAAGAUGUGAGAUGAUUUAUAUAAUUGUAAUUUCAGGAAUUUACAGUAAAGGCUUUCAUCCCCACUGCAUUUUGCACUUUUCCCACGUCAGGAGCCAGAAGUUAUGGCCUUUGUGACCUUUGUAUGAUUUUUAUUUUAGUUUCUUUUUUAAUAUCAAAGAGUUUAAUAUGACGUCCAUUAUCACUCAACUAGUAUACAUUUUUGUUUAAUGGCAAGCUAAAGCAUGCCUCACAGGCAGGGAUCCAGGAGGGUCUGAGGGUUGGACAUGUUGGAACCCCCCUUUCUACAUUGUUCUUUAUUGGACGAUCAAUGCAUUUGAAUUUUAAAAUUAACACCAUUCGAACGUAAAUAUAUUUCAAAAUUAAGAUGCUGCAAUGUACAAUCCCAGUAGAGCUGGGAAGAUGGUAUAAGUCAUUCCAAAAGAAGAAAGGACAUGCAAUCUGUGUUUAACUGCAAUUGGCAAUGAAUUCCAUUAUUUAUUUGAAUGCAAUUCUUUAUUAGUUAAAAAAUAUCAGAAAUCAGCAUAUUCCAGAGUACUAUGUGAAAUAUCAGAAUUAAGCAAAAAUGAAAGGACUAACUGUCAUUGACAAAUAUUAACUUAUUAUUUAAAAAUGUGUCUAUAUUCAUUUCAAAGUUAACUAAAAUAUUAUAAUGUUAAAAUAUUAUAAUAUAAAGUAAUUUUCCAUAUAUUUUAUUUCUAAGUUGUUUUAUUUUUUUUUUUUAAUUGUAUGUGAUUGUAUUUUGUAAUUUACCUCUUGUUUCACAUGUCAAUGUGACGGAGUGUUUUUCAAAUAAAGCAUAUUGUAUUGUAUUGUAUUGUAUUGAAUGGGGACAUGUAGUUGGACCCCCCCCCCCCCCCCCCCCCAUUUGUCUUUGGUUAGGAACCCCUCCUCGGGUUGUGGGAUUUUCUCGUUGCAUUGAAGACCCAUUGGUGCCCUUUGGCUGCUAUCUGCUCUUUGGUCUUUUGAUACAUUCCCCAUUUACAUUUCGAUUUUAUAUUCAGUUCUAUUAUAAAUGUUAGACUUCUUGUUGAUUUGGUUUCACAUUUCGGCUUCGUCAGAGGAAAGCGUUCCAGAAAUAAAAUAGCCUUGCAAGACGUCAUAAUUAUUUGGACUAGAUUUUCACCACCAUCAACAUUGUAAAGCUUGUCUCACUGUGGAAGAAAUGAGUUUGGCGCGUUUACAAAAAUAUAAUUGUCUGUGCUGACAGGGGAGUGUGUGUGCAUACCAUUAUUUAAAUUUUCUAAACCUUCUUUUUCAAUAUUUUGUGCAUUUCUUGGUAAUAUACUGUCAGACCUCGAGUGCUGCUUUACAAAAACGAUCAACUUACAAGUAAUGUAGGGGAAGGAAACUAGCUAAAAAGACCAAAAAUAAGCCACAACUAAUGGGGUCUCAUUGGGGGUUCUGUUCACGGAUCUCGCUUUAUAGUUACUAUUUAUUUUUUUUAGAUUCCCGCAUCCCGCUUACACUAUGUAAGUAAACAAUUCUAAUAUUUUUGUAAUUUCCUAUGUCCCGCUAAACUUCAUUUCCAGUUUUCACGGCACAAUAAUUUGACUAUUAGUGACACUAAGUACUGUGGUAUUUUCAGUGGGUAUUUUACCAAUAAGGCCAUAUAUUUCGGUGUGUAGAAAUACCGCAAAGGAAUUCUUAAUGGC